UAGGCUGAAACUCGCCUACAUGAAGCUGGAGUUGCUAGUAAUCGCGAAUCAGAAUGUCGCGGUGAAUACGUUCCCGGGCCUUGUACACACCGCCCGUCACACCAUGAGAGUUGGCAAUACCCAAAGUUCGUGAGCUAACGCGUAAGCGAGGCAGCGACCUAAGGUAGGGUCAGCGAUUGGGGUGAAGUCGUAACAAGGUAGCCGUAGGAGAACCUGCGGCUGGAUCACCUCCUUU
rnacentral:rRNA from 1 species